rnacentral:rRNA from 1 species
UGGACCUGCGGUGCAUUAGCUUAGUUGGUAAGGUAACGGCUUACCAAGGCAAUGAUUGCAUAGCCGAGUUGAGAGACUGAUCGGCCACAUUGGGACUGAGACACGGCCCAAACUCCUACGGGAGGCAGCAGUAGGGAAUCUUCCACAAUGGACGAAAGUCUGAUGGAGCAACGCCGCGUGAGUGAAGAAGGGUUUCGGCUCGUAAAGCUCUGUUGGUAGUGAAGAAAGAUAGAGGUAGUAACUGGCCUUUAUUUGACGGUAAUUACUUAGAAAGUCACGGCUAACUACGUGCCAGCAGCCGCGGUAAUACGUAGGUGGCAAGCGUUGUCCGGAUUUAUUGGGCGUAAAGCGAGUGCAGGCGGUUCAAUAAGUCUGAUGUGAAAGCCUUCGGCUCAACCGGAGAAUUGCAUCAGAAACUGUUGAACUUGAGUGCAGAAGAGGAGAGUGGAACUCCAUGUGUAGCGGUGGAAUGCGUAGAUAUAUGGAAGAACACCAGUGGCGAAGGCGGCUCUCUGGUCUGCAACUGACGCUGAGGCUCGAAAGCAUGGGUAGCGAACAGGAUUAGAUACCCUGGUAGUCCAUGCCGUAAACGAUGAGUGCUAAGUGUUGGGAGGUUUCCGCCUCUCAGUGCUGCAGCUAACGCAUUAAGCACUCCGCCUGGGGAGUACGACCGCAAGGUUGAAACUCAAAGGAAUUGACGGGGGCCCGCACAAGCGGUGGAGCAUGUGGUUUAAUUCGAAGCAACGCGAAGAACCUUACCAAGUCUUGACAUCUGGGUGACAGGAGGGUAAUGCCUUUUUUCCUUCGGGACACCCAAGGCAGGUGGUGCAUGGUUGUCGUCAGCUCGUGUCGUGAGAUGUUGGGUUAAGUCCCGCAACGAGCGCAACCCUUAUUCUUAGUAGCCAGCAGGUAAAGCUGGGCACUCUAGGGAGACUGCCAGGGAUAACCUGGAGGAAGGUGGGGAUGACGUCAAAUCAUCAUGCCCCUUAUGAUUUGGGCUACACACGUGCUACAAUGGCGUAAACAAAGGGAAGCGAGCAUGUGAAUGUAAGCAAAUCUCAAAAAUAACGUCUCAGUUCGGAUUGUAGUCUGCAACUCGACUACAUGAAGCUGGAAUCGCUAGUAAUCGCGAAUCAGCAUGUCGCGGUGAAUACGUUCCCGGGUCUUGCACUCACCGCCCGUCA